GUUUUGAUACUUUGUCAAUUAACCUUGAUAUGUCAAUAAUCUAUUUAUAUACGCUAUUCUAGGAACAGAAGAUAAAAAUUUGGAAAAGGAAGUUCAACAAGCAAGCGUUGAAAAGUUACAUUUGCAAAAUUAGUUUAUCUAAAUUGCUUUAAAUAUGUUUAUACAUGUGCAGAAUACUUUUGACAACAAUGCAAUGCUGAAACAGGAAAAUAUGCAAAAAAUGAAAGUGUGGAAAUUUGCAGUAAAAAUGGACUUUUUUCUGCUUCGAGAUUACCUCUUGGAUCGUUGUGUGUGUGGAUAAAUGAAACAAGGUACAAGAAUAUAUUAGGCAGACAGAAGGUGCAACCAGAGAUGGUCACGUUUUAACAGAUAUGUAAAUAUGCAAAUAUUCAAGUAUGUUUCUGUAUAACCAUAUGUUUAAAAUGUAACCGGAGUUAAUAAGUUUCGUUUUUUUCUGUUCUUUAAUACGUGAAACAGAUACAAUAUACAAUUCAUCACGAAAUUUUAUCUGAAGAUUAUAUAAAAAAUGGAUACAAUAUAUCAUAAUACCGUAUUCUUAAAAAAAAAUGUUUCUAUUCCUGAAGACAUUUGAAACUACAAAUGUAAGUUAAAUAAAGAAGCUACGCUAAACAAAGAGCUUAGAUCUUUGUUUUGUAACUAUGAUAAUUUUAUAAUUUUAGUAACUAUGAUCAUUUUGUAAUUUUAGAAAAUAAAUACGUGGAAACUAUUUAUAGAUUUGACCUGCCAUUUACUGCAUUAACGUUUUACAAUAUUUGAUACUUAAAUCCUUCGGACUGAUAAGAAGACGUCAUGACUGCAAUAUAAUCAAAAUAACUCUGCACAAAUAUUUGAAACGGUGUGUGUCUGAAUUAUUAACAGUUCAGGUUGAAUAAUUACUUUUCAGCUUAUUUAAAUAUCCCAAGUUGAUAAACAACGUGAAGGCAGUAUUGAAUAGCAGGUGUUUUGUAAUGCGUAUUCAUUUAGGAACAAAAAAUAGGCGAUAUUAUUUCCUUGACCUACUUAGCAAUUGAAAAGAAACUUUGUUCAUACAAAAUAAGAAAAAUUACUGUUCUGCCUAACCACAAAAAAUGUUGUCAAUCAAUUAAAUAUCAUUGAAUUACCUUUGUUUACGAACAAUGCAAAUAUUGAGCUUGUAGAAUAAUAACAGAUACAAGGUUCUAAAAGACAUUUGUUUAAUGAUCUUUGCAUGCUUUCAAACGAAAUGAAUUCGCUGCUCUUUUCAUUUGCUUUUUCACAGUAUUAGAAUACUUUACCAGUAUGACUAAUGAAACCAGCAAAUUGCUUUUAUCCAUUUAAAUAGGUAUAGUUUAUUUUUGACAUAGCAAAAAUACGAAUUCGUUGGUGUUAUUCAACUUUAUUUAUUUAAAAACAAAAAACACACCCAAAUGUACAUAUUGUUUCCAUCUUCAAAGUCAAUUUAUAGUAUAUGAAUUAUAUCUGUAAAAUAUACAAAAACAUAUCGAAAUCUACCAAUUUUAAAUAAUUGUGAACAACGCAUUAGUCCGUAGAAAAUAUAAUGAAUAAAUCGAAGUGUAUGACAGAGAAAAUCAAACUCGACUUAAAUGAACUGAGCACACUAACUGUCUCAUUCAUACACGUGUUAUGUUUGUUUGUUUUGGGUUUAACGCCGUUUUUCAACAGUAUUUCAGCCAUGUAACGGCGGGCAGUUAACCUAAACAGUGUUCCUGGAUUCUGUACCAGUACAAACCUGUUCUCCGCAACUUCCCCACAUGAAUCAGAGGUGGAGGACUAAUGAUUUCAGACACAAUGUCGUUUAUCAAAUAGUCACGGAGAACAUACACCCCGCCCGAGGAUCGAACUCACGACCCCGCGAUCCGUAGACCGUAGCUCUACCUACUGGGCUAAGCGGGCGGGACGUAUUAUGUAACAUGUAUAUUAUGUAACAUAUGUGUAUAUUGAGUAUAACAGUUUCAGAGGAAGUUUCCAGUACAGUUAUAAGUUAAUUAUUGUUUCAAAUGCAAUAUCAUUACUUUCUCUUUGUGCAAACGUGCUGAUUAAUGACAAUAGUCAUUUAGUCUAUUUCAGAAAAAAACAAAAAAACAAUUGAAAUGAAGCGAUGCGAAAACGACAGCAAAUAACAUAUUUACAUGGACUUGGCAUUGCAUAUUUACACGGGUCAUUAACAAAUCAUUGUACAGACUUUAUAACCCAUGUGUAUAAUAUCUACAUGAAGUGUGGGAUCCCAAGACAGUGCGACCUACUUUAAGGUCACAACAGAUAACAGAAUGUUUCUAUACCUUCAUCAAGUAUGUACCUGUGUAAUAUAUCAGUACAGCAAGAUAAUGGAGCGAGACAAAUUAUAUAUGCAAGGUUGCAUAUUCACGUUCGAGAAUAUUCGUUGCAAACUGCCUAUGUCAAACAGAAUCUGGAUUUUCAUACCCAACGUUGUUUUUUUCUUAUUGUAACAAGAUAUGUAACUUACAACAAGAUGACUGACUGUAACGAUAAAACAGAUCCUUGAUUGUAACGACAAGAUCACGGAUUCUUACCACAACACAUAAAAAAUAAUGUCAAAAAAACGUGUAAACAACGAGGUCUCCAAAAUACCGAAUACAUGUUGUAAAGUAGAUGUGAAAUACGGAAGAAGGAAAAUCUGUUCAAUAUUUGUUUAAAAACUACAUACACGAAAGACACGUCAUCAAACUUCGAUGGAAUUCAGCUCACAUAUAAUGAAGCUAAUGAUUAAUAUGUGCAUUGAAGAACAGUAGUAAACAACACAAAUAUAAAAUCUGUAUACUUCUCUUAUCUCACAGAGUAUCAAACAACAACGGUAAAAGUGGUAUUUACCAUUCCAAUUACCACAAACAAUUGAAAAAACAAAGCUUUAAAUGAUCGAAGUGAUAUACCUUUACAGCACAGAAUCUCUUCCAUAAUUUAUAAACGUGAGUUAGUAAUAAAGAUAGAGAGGCGGCAGAUCGAUAUGUCUGUGGUGUAAAUGUCGAUACUAAGCAGCGAGAAGUUCGCUAUGUAAGCAGCGGAAUGUGAACAAUGCUGUAUCGUAAACACCAGAAUUUUCUGGCGACCCCCAAAAGGGGUCAAGCAGGACAAUUUGAACAAAGUCUUGUUAUGAUACAAACCAAGCUUGGUGAAGAUCCAUCAUCUGGUUUGUGAGAAGAAGACAUUCGAAUUGUUUUCUACUUUUACCUCAGACGAAUCGGAACCAUUUGAAUAAGUUUUUGAGAGGACCUUAUAAGGAUGCUACAAACCCAGCUUGAUGAAGAUCAACCACCUCGUUCUUAAGAAGAAGUCAUUUCAAGAUUGUUCAUCAUUUAGCUAUAGGAGCCAUAAAAAGUGGCCAAGGGCAAUCAUUUGACAGAGAUGCUAUAGGAUGCUACAGAGAGAUGAUGCUACAGACUCGCCUGGUUCAUGAGAUGUUGUUUAUAAUUAUACAGAUUUUUAUGUGUUAGGUUUGGUGGCCACUGCACUGUUAGGAGGCGUAACGCAACCAUUUGAAAAAAUAACAAGAGAGAACUUUAUAAGAAUAUUAUAGUUCAAGUUCGAGAAGAUCCAUAACUCAUGGUAUAUCGUUUUAAUCCAUUUUUUUAGCCUUAGUUUCCUAAAAUGGGCUGAGUGCCCCAAUUUGAACAUCAUAAAUAGAGGACUUUAUAAUGACAAGAAAUGGUUGGUUUUUCUAGUGUAGAAUCUAAUGACCACUCGAAGGGACCAAGUGCCCCCAUUUGAACAAAACUGGGAAGGUUUUUUUUAUUACGAUGAUAAGACAAAGUUGAUUGAGCACCCUUCAACCCAAACCUAUACUAAUAGCCUACCCUAAAUAAAGUUCGGGGAGCCAAAAAAAAUUAAAAAUUGUAGAAACAUGCCACAGGUUAUCAGGCAGACACAGUAUUUAAACUAAAUACAGCAUUGACGGGACCGUAACAUUUACGUUACUCUGGAACUGAAAUAUGGUUUAAAAGAUCACGACCAAGGUUGCCCUGUGUUGCUCAUCAAACUACUUGACAUUAAAUGUAUGUAUGACACAUUGAAUUAUGAAUAAUUAUUGUAAGGUAUGUGUUUAGUAUAAAACUCAUAAUACAGGCCAAGUGCAUACAGAACACGUUUGAGAAAGGGCAAUAUUAGGAGGCUACAGGCCACGUUUCCUGAAGAUCCACCGAGCAGUUCAAAAGGAAAGGCACUUAAAGAUGUAUUUGUUUUAGCUCUUGUAACUAAGUGUCUUCAUUUGAAAUCAUUUGACGGAGAACUUCAUAAGAAUGCUAUAGAUCAGGUUUUAUGAAGAUCAGUCAAGCACUUCUUGAGUAGUUUUAGUUUUAGCCCACCUUAUAAGAUAACGGUCGAUUAACUUUACGGGGUACGUUUCGACAUUUUAGUAGACUCCGUAGACAAAUAUAUGAGUUGAGGAUUAUGAACACUAGUUACAUCAUACUAGAGUUUCCCCAAAAGACUAACAUUUUGAAUCAAAUUUUAACCUGCCAUUUAUUUAAUAGUCGGUUAAAGUUUCUAACAAAUGGGUCAAAAUUGGUUGUAAUUUCAAGAAGCCUUUUCAUGAGAAAUUGUUUAAAUGUUUUUUGUUGUUUUUUUUUACAUCUAGCAGCCCUAAAUGAACUCAAUUCCGACUAUAUGAAAGCAGCUGGGCGAGGCCCGUACAAUGAUGCAACAGAAAAUGUUUGAUAAAGAUGCAUUAAGCGAUUUAUGACAAGAAGUCGUUUAAAUGGUUUUCUAAUUGUAAAUAUUUCAGUCCACAAAAACGGUCGAGUGUCUCCACUUCAACAAAAUUGAGUGAGAACUUUACAAUGAUGCUACAGAAAAAGGUUUAAUUUACAUCCAUCAAGUGGUUCAUGAGAUUUUUUUAUUUUCAAUUCUAGUGGCCCCUUAAAGAACAAAACUUGGAGUAGACUUUAGUAUGAUGUGAAAGAACAAUUGGAUGAAGAUCAGACAGUUUACGAAACGAGGUCGUUUGAUUAUCUUUUUUUUUUGCUAUGUUUAGCUCAAAAGGUCCAUAAAAGGGGCCACGUGUACAAAUUUGAAAAAGCUUGGGAUGGGACCUUACAAUUAUACUACAAACCAAGUGCACCUAUUCGAAUACAAUUGAUACAGAACCUUGGCAGUAUGCUAGACCAGGUUUAUUGUUAUUCUGACUGGUAGUUCCAGAUGGGAAGACGUUGGCAACGGAGAACGGACGCUGGGCUAUACGCUUCUACUACUGAUGAGCUAAAAUGUUUGACCAUUACCAUAUGAAGAUAGUCUCCUGA